rnacentral:rRNA from 1 species
GACGAACGCUGGCGGCGUGCUUAACACAUGCAAGUCGAACGAAGUGGCGAACGGGUGAGUAACGCGUAAUCAACUGCCCUUCAGAGGGGGACAACUAUUGGAAACGAUAGCUAAUACCGCAUACUACCAGAUGGACCUGCGUUGUAUUAGCUAGUUGGUGGGGUAACGGCUCACCAAGGCAACGAUACAUAGCCGACCUGAGAGGGUGAUCGGCCACACUGGGACUGAGACACGGCCCAGACUCCUACGGGAGGCAGCAGUAGGGAAUCUUCGGCAAUGGACGGAAGUCUGACCGAGCAACGCCGCGUGAGUGAAGAAGGUUUUCGGAUCGUAAAGCUCUGUUGUAAGAGAAGCGGUAUCUUACCAGAAAGGGACGGCUAACUACGUGCCAGCCGCCGCGGUAAUUC